rnacentral:rRNA from 1 species
GGCAGACGGGUGAGUAACGCGUGGGAACGUGCCCUUCAGUUCGGAAUAACCCAGGGAAACUUGGGCUAAUACCGGAUACGUGCGAGAGCAGAAAGAUUUAUCGCUGAAGGAUCGGCCCGCGUCUGAUUAGCUUGUUGGUGGGGUAAUGGCCCACCAAGGCGACGAUCAGUAGCUGGUCUGAGAGGAUGAUCAGCCACAUUGGGACUGAGACACGGCCCAAACUCCUACGGGAGGCAGCAGUGGGGAAUAUUGGACAAUGGGCGCAAGCCUGAUCCAGCCAUGCCGCGUGAGUGAUGAAGGCCUUAGGGUUGUAAAGCUCUUUCAGCGGGGACGAUAAUGACGGUACCCGCAGAAGAAGCCCCGGCUAACUUCGUGCCAGCAGCCGCGGUAAUACGAAGGGGGCUAGCGUUGUUCGGAAUCACUGGGCGUAAAGGGCGCGUAGGCGGCUUUGUAAGUCGGGGGUGAAAGCCUGUGGCUCAACCACAGAAUUGCCUUCGAUACUGCAUGGCUUGAGACCGGAAGAGGUUAGUGGAACUGCGAGUGUAGAGGUGAAAUUCGUAGAUAUUCGCAAGAACACCAGUGGCGAAGGCGGCUGACUGGUCCGGUUCUGACGCUGAGGCGCGAAAGCGUGGGGAGCAAACAGGAUUAGAUACCCUGGUAGUCCACGCCGUAAACGAUGAAUGCCAGCCGUUGGCGAGCUUGCUCGUCAGUGGCGCAGCUAACGCUUUAAGCAUUCCGCCUGGGGAGUACGGUCGCAAGAUU